GCCUGGCUGGCUCAGUCGGUGGAGCGUGCAACUCUUGAUCUCAGGGUCGUGAGGUCGAGCCCCACGCCGGGUG
rnacentral:tRNA from 1 species